GAUGAACGCUGGCGGCGUGCUUAACACAUGCAAGUCGAACGGAGAGGCCCAAGCUUGCUUGGGUACUCGAGUGGCGAACGGGUGAGUAACACGUGGGUGAUCUGCCCUGCACUUCGGGAUAAGCCUGGGAAACUGGGUCUAAUACCGGAUAGGACGAUGGUUUGGAUGCCAUUGUGGAAAGUUUUUUCGGUGUGGGAUGAGCUCGCGGCCUAUCAGCUUGUUGGUGGGGUAAUGGCCUACCAAGGCGUCGACGGGUAGCCGGCCUGAGAGGGUGUACGGCCACAUUGGGACUGAGAUACGGGCCAGACUCCUACGGGAGGCAGCAGUGGGGAAUAUUGCACAAUGGGCGCAAGCCUGAUGCAGCGAGGCCGCGUGGUGGAUGACGGCCUUCGGGUUGUAAACUCCUUUGGCUAGGGACGAAGCGUUUUUGUGACGGUACCUGGAGAAGAAGCACCGGCUAACUACGUG
rnacentral:rRNA from 1 species